rnacentral:rRNA from 1 species
CCUACGGGUGGCAGCAGUGGGGAAUAUUGCACAAUGGGCGGAACCCUGAUGCAGCGACGCCGCGUGGGUGAAGAAGCGCCUCGGCGCGUAAAGCCCUGUCAGCAGGGAAGAAAAUGACGGGACCUGAAGAAGAAGCCCCGGCGAACUACGUGCCAGCAGCCGCGGUAAGACGUAGGGGGCACGCGUUAUCCGGAUUGACUGGGUGUAAAGGGGGCGCAGACGGCGAUGCAAGCCAGGAGUGAAAGCCCGGGGUCCAACCCCGGGACUGCUAUUGGAACCGCGUGGCUGGAGUGCAGGAGGGGAAGGCGGAAGUCCUGGUGUAGCGGGGAAAUGCGUAGAUAGCAGGAGGAA